GGUGGAGGUCUCUGAUUGGCCAAGAGAAAAUCUUGGUUGACUCUUUGAGCAAUUCGUAGGCAGCCAUUUACAAGACGUGACGGUAUUUGCAAGCCGUCUGUUUGUAACUGUCGUUUCCGCAAUAUUCAGAUGAUGAUGCCCGUAAUGGAAGUUGCGCAUCUCUCUAGCAAUAUCAUCGGCCAAAGAUGAUGGAAAUUAUUCAUACGACCCACAGCCAACAAGUUUGUCUAAAGGGGAGAGAAAGAGGACCGGGGAAAGAUCUGCGCCAGAGGAACUGAGAUUACUGCAAGCGGGAAGACCGUGAAAAAUAUCUGCACCAGAGGAACCGAGAUUACUUCAAGAGGGGGGACCGUGGAAAAGAUCUGCGCCAGAGGAGGGACUGAGAUUACUGUAAGGAGGAGGACCGUGGAAAAGAUCUGCACCAGAGGAACCGAGAUUACUGCAAGAGGGAGAACCGUGGAAAAGAUCUGCACCAGAGGAACCGAGAUUACUGCAAGAGGGAGAACCGUGGAAAAGAUCUGCGCCGGAGGAACUGAGAUUACCGGAAGAGGGAAGAGGGAAGACCGUGGAAAAGAACUAUGCCAGAGGAACUGAGAUUACCGGAAGAGGGAAGAGGGAAGACCGUGGAAAAGUACAGCGCCAGAGGAACUGAGAUUACUGUGUGAAGUUUAAGGUUCAGGUCCAGGAGGCGAUUUUCCCAAUCUGUGUGAAGUUUAAGGUAGUUUUUCAAUCUAAUAAACUCUUCAAAUCUAAACUGUCUGAAAUGUCCUUAUAUUUCAAUUACCAGAGAGAAAAACAAUCAAAGACUACAGAUCAAGACUUGGAGUAUGGUACUUCCGUUACAUGUAUAUGUAAAGGUACUUGGAAUAUGGUAUGUUACAUGGAACGUUACUUGGUACAUGUAAAGGUACCAGAGUUGCCAACUAAUUCUUUAAGUAUUAGUAAUUUUUUUUAAUGGUACUCUCUACAGCGAGCACAAGGUAGUGCCAUCUCUACGAAAGUUGUGACGUCUCUAUAUUUCCCUCCCCGUCCUUCCGGACGAAUUGUUUCUCUGUGGACUUGCCAACUAGUUCAUUAACGUCUGGACUUGCCAACUAGUUCAUUAACGUCUGGACUUGCCAACUAGUUCAUUAACGUCUGGACUUGCCAACUAGUUCAUUAACGUCUGGACUUGCCAACUAGUUCAUUAACGUCUGGACUUGCCAACUAGUUCAUUAACGUCUGGACUUGCCAACUAGUUUAUUAACGUCUGGACUUGCCAACUAUUUCAUUAACGUCUGGACUUGCCAACUAGUUUAUUAACGUCUGGACUUGCCAACUAGUUCAUUAACGUCUGGACUUGCCAACUAGUUCAUUAACGUCAGGACGAGGUGGCGACUUCAAUAAGAAGGUUAUGACGUCCC